rnacentral:tmRNA from 1 species
GGGGGCGACCCGGUUUCGACGGGGGUGAACGAAGCGAGGGCUGCAGGCGGAGGGUCUCUGUCACCUCCUUAAUCCGACGGGGAACUAUCAAACGCGAACUCCACAGAGUACGCACUAGCUGCCUAGUGCAGCUAGCGUCCUACCAGCUCUCCCGUCUGUGACGGUUGGCUAGGGCGUCAUCGGACAGGCUAGCCAAGGGCUCCUACGGUCGGGCCGGCGGCGAAACAACAGGCCGUAUGGCCUCGAGGCAGCCAGCCGGCAGGCGGCCUCGAGGUGACGAAAACCGCCGGCUAAGCUUGUAGACGUCUUCGUAUUCGCACCUUCGGACGCGGGUUCGACUCCCGCCGCCUCCACAU